AGCGAACGCUGGCGGCGUACUUAACACAUGCAAGUCGAACGAGGAUCAUCGGGUUAGCAAUAAUUCGGUGGUCCUAGUGGCGCACGGGUGAGUAACACGUGGGUGACCUGCCCUUGAGCUCGGGAUACCCCCUCGAAAGGGGGGCUAAUACCGGAUACGUUCCUCGGUCGAAAGACUGAGGAGGAAAGGUGGCGCAAGCUGCCGCUCUUGGAGGGGCUCGCGGCCUAUCAGCUAGNGGCGGGGUAACGGCCCACCAAGGCUAUGACGGGUAGCUGGUCUGAGAGGACGACCAGCCACACGGGGACUGAGACACGGCCCCGACUCCUACGGGAGGCAGCAGUGGGGAAUUUUCCGCAAUGGGCGAAAGCCUGACGGAGUGACGCCGCGUGUGGGACGAAGGCCUU
rnacentral:rRNA from 1 species